AGUCUGGUGCCAGCAGCCGCGGUAAUACCAGCUCUUCUAGCAUAUAUUAAAGUUGCUGCAGUUAAAACGCUCGUAGUUUGAAUUAUUUCGGUGUCAGGCUGGCUGGAAAAUUUAAUUUUUCAAGCUGUCUGGUGCCGAAUUAAAGUUUGGGUAGAGCAGAUUAAUUUCUCUCUAUCCAUUUAACCUUGAAAAAACAUUGUCGCUCAAAAAAAGACGGAAAAGUCUAUUGAGAUUUCAGCAUGGGAUUAUGAAAAAAGGGGGGCGGGUGCGAAAGGGGGUAAAAGCCCGAUUGGCUCGUUUCCAAUGGUUAAUGAGGACGAUGCGUGGGAGUUCAUAUUAAUAAGUCAGAGGUGAAAUUCUUGGAUUUUAUUAAGAUGAACAUCAGCGAAGGCGUUCUUCAAGUGCGUGCCUGUCGAUCAAGAACGAAAGUUGGGGGAUCGAAGACGAUCAGAUACCGUCGUAGUCUCAACCUUAAACUAUGCCGACUAUGAAUAGGAUAUCGUUUUAAGAAGGGCGUCAAAAACCCUUCUGAUGACUUCUCCUGCGCAUUAAAAGAAAUUAAGAGUUUUUGGGUUCCGGGGGGAGUAUAGUCGCAAGGCCGAAACUUAAAGGAAUUGACGGAAGGGCACCACCAGGUGUGGAGCCUGCGGCUUAAUUUGACCCAACACGGGGAAACUUACCAGGUCCAGACAGCGUGAGGAUUGACAGAUUGAUAGCUCUUUCAUGAUUCGUUGGGUGGUGGUGCAUGGCCGUUCUUAGUUGGUGGUGUGAGUUGUCUGGUUGAUUCCGUUAACGAACGAGACCUUCGUUGUAUAAUACGAGGCGCUAGUUUUUGCGUCAAGGGUAGUGGCUCCUUCUUGAGAUACGAGCAAUCGCCUUGGGAAAAGGGUCAUUACUUGCAUAGCUAGCGUCCGUUUCGUUCUAUACAAGACAAAUACAGAAAAUGUAUUGGAAGUUGUAGGCAAAAACAGGUCUGUGAUGCCCUUCGAUGUUCUGGGCUGCACGCGCGCUACAAUGACAAUGUCAGCGAGUUUUUUAGCUUGGGCGAAAGCUCUGGCAAAUCUUCGAAACGUUGUCGUACUAUGGAUUGUUGAUUGCAACUAUUCGACAUAAAACAGGAAUACCUAGUAGACGUGCUUCAUCAGAGUACGUCGAUUACGUCCCUGCCCUUUGUACACACCGCCCGUCGCUCCUACCGAUUGGAACAUACGGUGAAAAUCUCGGAGAGUGCAGUUCUCGAUGGGUAGUUCGCUAUUCAUCUCCUGUGUUCAAAGUCAU
rnacentral:rRNA from 1 species